rnacentral:rRNA from 1 species
GACGAACGCUGGCGGCGUGCUUAACACAUGCAAGUCGAACGGAAAGGCCCUGCUUUUGUGGGGUGCUCGAGUGGCGAACGGGUGAGUAACACGUGAGUAACCUGCCCUUGACUUUGGGAUAACUUCAGGAAACUGGGGCUAAUACCGGAUAGGAGCUCCUGCUGCAUGGUGGGGGUUGGAAAGUUUCGGCGGUUGGGGAUGGACUCGCGGCUUAUCAGCUUGUUGGUGGGGUAGUGGCUUACCAAGGCUUUGACGGGUAGCCGGCCUGAGAGGGUGACCGGACACAUUGGAACUGAGAUACGGCCCAGACUGCUACGGUAGGCAGCAGGGGAGAAUAUUGCACAAUGGGCGGAAGCCUGAUGCAGCAACGCCGCGUGCGGGAUGACGGCCUUCGGGUUGUAAACCGCUUUCGCCUGUGACGAAGCGUGAGUGACGGUAAUGGGUAAAGAAGCACCGGCUAACUACGUG